AAAAACCCAAGCGCUCAUCUGUUUUUUCCCUUCGCGCUCGUUUUUUCCCCCCUUUAACCAAAAAUUCCCAAUCUCAAAAAUCCCUAAUCUUUCAACCAAAAGCCUAUCAAAAGUCCCCAUCUCUUCAUACGACUCUCUCUCUCUCUCUCUCUCUCGACUGUGAGCAACGGCGGACGACGGCGAGCAUCGAAUCAACAGCGUUGAGCGAUGGCAGCGAGCAGCGUGCGACGGCGUCGAGCGAGCGAGGACGGUGCGGCGAGUCUCUCUUCAACGCUCUCAUCCUCUCGAUCUUCUAAGACCUCACGCACACAGACUCACAAAACAAAAGGCGAAGACAAACUCUCAUCGUCUUUGCGUUCGCCAAUCUUCAGAUAAGGUUCUGUGGAAAUGCACUGGAUUGACACUUGUUUUCCAUUUACUGAUCCAUCAUUUGAACUCAAGAUGUAUUUUCAGGUCGAACAGCAGCUGUGAAGGAGGAGGAGGAGUUCGUAGUCGUCUCGAACAGCAGCUCGUCGAUCAUCAACCGGGUUCACGAACAGGAGCUCCACGAUCGUCGAUCAUCAGAUAUUUCCCGAGUAGGAGUUUGCUUCUUGUGGAAUGCAGGCGUGUGGAGAUUGCGACUAA